rnacentral:rRNA from 1 species
GCUAGCGGGAGGCCUAACACAUGCAAGCCGAGCGGUAGAGUCUCUUCGGAGACUUGAGAGCGGCGCACGGGUGCGGAACACGUGUGCAACCUGCCUUUAUCUGGGGGAUAGCCUUUCGAAAGGAAGAUUAAUACCCCAUAAUAUACUGAAUGGCAUCAUCUGAUAUUGAAAACUCCGGUGGAUAGAGAUGGGCACGCGCAAGAUUAGAUAGUUGGUGAGGUAACGGCUCACCAAGUCUACGAUCUUUAGGGGGCCUGAGAGGGUGAUCCCCCACACUGGUACUGAGACACGGACCAGACUCCUACGGGAGGCAGCAGUGAGGAAUAUUGGACAAUGGGUGAGAGCCUGAUCCAGCCAUCCCGCGUGAAGGACGACGGCCCUAUGGGUUGUAAACUUCUUUUGUAUAGGGAUAAACCUAGAUACGUGUAUCUAGCUGAAGGUACUAUACGAAUAAGCACCGGCUAACUCCGUGCCAGCAGCCGCGGUAAUACGGAGGGUGCAAGCGUUAUCCGGAUUUAUUGGGUUUAAAGGGUCCGUAGGCUGAUUUGUAAGUCAGUGGUGAAAUCUCACAGCUUAACUGUGAAACUGCCAUUGAUACUGCAAGUCUUGAGUGUUGUUGAAGUAGCUGGAAUAAGUAGUGUAGCGGUGAAAUGCAUAGAUAUUACUUAGAACACCAAUUGCGAAGGCAGGUUACUAAGCAACAACUGACGCUGAUGGACGAAAGCGUGGGGAGCGAACAGGAUUAGAUACCCUGGUAGUCCACGCCGUAAACGAUGCUAACUCGUUUUUGGGUUUUCGGAUUCAGAGACUAAGCGAAAGUGAUAAGUUAGCCACCUGGGGAGUACGAACGCAAGUUUGAAACUCAAAGGAAUUGACGGGGGCCCGCACAAGCGGUGGAUUAUGUGGUUUAAUUCGAUGAUACGCGAGGAACCUUACCAAGGCUUAAAUGGGAAAUGACAGGUUUAGAAAUAGACUUUUCUUCGGACAUUUUUCAAGGUGCUGCAUGGUUGUCGUCAGCUCGUGCCGUGAGGUGUUAGGUUAAGUCCUGCAACGAGCGCAACCCCUGUCACUAGUUGCCAUCAUUAAGUUGGGGACUCUAGUGAGACUGCCUACGCAAGUAGAGAGGAAGGUGGGGAUGACGUCAAAUCAUCACGGCCCUUACGCCUUGGGCCACACACGUAAUACAAUGGCCGGUACAGAGGGCAGCUACACAGCGAUGUGAUGCAAAUCUCGAAAGCCGGUCUCAGUUCGGAUUGGAGUCUGCAACUCGACUCUAUGAAGCUGGAAUCGCUAGUAAUCGCGCAUCAGCCAUGGCGCGGUGAAUACGUUCCCGGGCCUUGUACACACCGCCCGUCAAGCCAUGAAGUCUGGAGUACCUGAAGUCGGCGACCGUAUCAGGAGCUGCCU